ACACGUCCAGUCGAUAUGCAGUUGGACAAGGGCAGGUGCACGAAUCCAAGCUCCCUGGAUGCCUAUAUAACGUCCCCAGCACCAAGCAUCACCACACACUACAAAUUGCUCCAGAUAAGCGCGGUCCGAGGAUGGCUCCACCGAUACCCGCCGCCGAUGCCGUGGUGGAGGCUGCCUCGGCCGUCGGCGCGGCCCCGGCCAUCGCGCCGAACGGAAUGGCCCGCAAGGACGUGCCGGCGCCGCCGCCGAUCUCCGUCGUCUCGAAGCAGACGGUUCGGCCGGCCGGCACAUCGGCGGUUGGAGACCUCAGGCUCUCGGUCUCGGACAUGCCCAUGCUUUCGUGCCACUACAUCCAGAAGGGGCUCUUCUUCCGGCCUCCCGGCGUGGUGAUGGCCUCGCUGGUGCCGUCGCUCGUCGCGGCGCUCUCACGCGCGCUCGGUGUCUUCCCUGCCCUCGCCGGCCGGCUCGUCACGCUCGACGACGACAGCAUCGUGAUCCGCUGCGGCGGCGACGCGGCCGUCGAGUUCUACCACGCCGUCGCGCCGGCUCUGUCGCUCGGCGACUUUCUCGUGCCCGGCGCCGACGUUCCGAUCAGGCUCACGAACGGCCUGUUCCCUAUGGACCGGACGGUGAGCUACGGCGGCCACGGCCGCCCUCUCACGUCGUUCCAGCUCACCGUGCUCGGCGACGGCGCCGUGUUCGUCGGCUUCGUCGCCAACCACGCCGUCGUUGACGGCACCUCCUUUUGGCACUUCUUCAACACGUGGGCGGGGCUGUGCCGCGGCGCGCCGGUCCGGGAGCCAGACUUCCGCCGCAACUUCUUUGGCGACUCCACCGCCGUCCUGCGCUUCCCCGGCGGCGUGGGCCCGGCCGUGACGUUCGACGCCGAGGCGCCCCUCCGCGAGCGAAUCCUCCACUUCAGUGCCGCCGCGAUUCGCGAGCUGAAGGCGACAGCCAACCGCUGGAAAAGAACCGGUCAAGACUCCGAGGUUAACGGCAAGGUCACGCACGACUCCAAGGUUCAGUGCGGGUGCCGCGAAAUCUCGUCGUUCCAGUCGUUGUGCGCGCACGUAUGGAGGGCGGUGACACGCGCGCGCCGGCUGUUGGCGGCCGACAAGACGACGACGUUCCGCAUGGCCGUGAACUGCCGGCACCGCCUGCGCCCGGCGAUCUCCCCGCUCUACUUCGGCAACGCCAUCCAGAGCGUGGCGACGAAGGCGACCGUGGCCGAGCUAGCGUCCAACGACCUGGGCUGGGCGGCGGCCAAGCUGCACGCGACCGUGGCGGCGCACGAGGACGGCGCGAUCCGGCUGGCGGCGGCGGAGUGGGAGGCAGCGCCACGGUGCUUCCCGCUGGGCAACCCCGACGGCGCGGCGCUCACGAUGGGGAGCUCGCCACGGUUCCCGAUGUACGACGGGAACGACUUCGGGUGGGGCCGCGCCCUCGCUGUGCGGAGCGGCCGCGCGAACAAAUUCGACGGCAAGAUGUCGGCGUUCCCGGGCCAGGCUGGGGAUGGCAGCGUCGACGUGGAGGUUUGCCUCGCGCCUGACACCAUGGCUUGCCUCCUCCGCGACGAGGCGUUCUUGCAGUACGUGACAGAGUGAAGCAUCUGAUGUGCGACAUGCUUGUUGCCGCGCAGCUCCACCGUUACUGGAUUUGCACGCUUUCAAAAGAUAUCAAGUGCUUGUGAGUUGUGGCCUUGUAGUUGUAGAGAUGUCGUACUGCUGGUUCCUUCGUGAUGCCGUUGUAGGCUAGUACUUGGUGACUUGUGUUUGUGAGUAGGGUGCAAACUAGGAUGAUGUACGGAUGCAUUCACUACUCCCUCCGUUUCAAAUUGUAGGUCGUUUUGAUUUUUCUAGGUUCAUUAUUCUCCAACACUCCCCCUUACGUGCAGUCUCAUUUAGGGCGUAUACGUGGAAAUUGGAGUGGGCUGCAAUUAUUUUUUUAACCGCCCCCGA